ACCAGACUCCUACGGGAGGCAGCAGUGGGGAAUAUUGCACAAUGGGGGAAACCCUGAUGCAGCAACGCCGCGUGAGUGAAGAAGUAUUUCGGUAUGUAAAGCUCUAUCAGCAGGGAAGAAGAUGACGGUACCUGACUAAGAAGCCCCGGCUAACUACGUGCCAGCAGCCGCGGUAAUACGUAGGGGGCAAGCGUUAUCCGGAUUUACUGGGUGUAAGGGGAGCGUAGACGGCGAUGCAAGUCUGAAGUGAAAGGCGGGGGCCCAACCCCCGGACUGCUUUGGAAACUGUAUAGCUGGAGUGCAGGAGAGGUAAGUGGAAUUCCUAGUGUAGCGGUGAAAUGCGUAGAUAUUAGGAGGAACACCAGUGGCGAAGGCGGCUUACUGGACUGUAACUGACGUUGAGGCUCGAAAGCGUGGGGAGCAAACAGGAUUAGAUACCCGUGUAU
rnacentral:rRNA from 1 species